rnacentral:lncRNA from 1 species
CAGAGCCCGCCAGCUGCUAAGCCAGGGCCACACCUGGGGGUGAUUUCAUGCCUCACCUCCAGUAGGCUCAUGGCCUCUCUGGGCUAACCUCUGGCUCUUUUGCACUAACUCUAGCUCUCCCCCAGCUAAUCCCUGCCUCUCCCUGGCUGCCCCAGGGGCUGACCACUAGCAGCCAGCCCCGCCCACCCGCGGGGCUCCAGGCUCCUGGCCUGGCGGCUCCUUUGAACCAACCACCCUUUCCUCUGGACUAAUGUAUGCCUUUCUGGUCUGUUCCUUCCGGCAGAAAUGAAUGGCUGUGGAUUUCUCUCUGACUAACAGGUCUCACACUCCUCUCCCUGUUACCACUAACGGCUUGGAUGAUGGCGGCGUGGCUGGC